UGGGGAAUUUUGGACAAUGGGGGCAACCCUGAUCCAGCCAUGCCGCGUGCGGGAAGAAGGCCUUCGGGUUGUAAACCGCUUUUGUCGGGGAAGAAACGCUCCAGGCUAAUACCCCGGAGUAAUGACGGUACCCGAAGAAUAAGCACCGGCUAACUACGUGCCAGCAGCCGCGGUAAUACGUAGGGUGCAAGCGUUAAUCGGAAUUACUGGGCGUAAAGCGUGCGCAGGCGGUCCUGCAAGACAGAUGUGAAAUCCCCGGGCUCAACCUGGGAACUGCAUUUGUGACUGCAAGGCUGGAGUGCGGCAGAGGGGGAUGGAAUUCCGCGUGUAGCAGUGAAAUGCGUAGAUAUGCGGAGGAACACCGAUGGCGAAGGCAAUCCCCUGGGCCUGCACUGACGCUCAUGCACGAAAGCGUGGGGAGCAAACAGG
rnacentral:rRNA from 1 species